GUACGGAACUCCCCUCCAGUCAUCUCCAGUCACCUCCGGAUUACGCCCAUUGCUCCUGCUGUCACACGAUGUCUACGCGGAAGAAAACGAAAAUCUGACAUAAAUUCUUAGUCACAACGCAACUUCCUUUGUUCAGGGACUUGCCCGCUUGACGCCCGUUGCUGCAAGCUGUCGAGGAGCUGAAGCGGCCCGUAGGCCACAUGAUCGGGGCCGAGAGGUCGGCCUUGGUGGUCGUCGAGGAAAACAAGUGCAUCCUGCCUCCCAACUACACGCGCAACUGGAAACUAACUGCGCAGCCCGCGGCUACGCCGGCCACUCCAUCCGCCUGGUCCAACACGACUCGGACAAGGCCCUGAUGAUCUGCGAUGCGCCGUUCCACCAGAAGAUCCUGACCUGCAUUUGCCGACUGGCCGGGUCGUGGUGAUGGGCAACACGGUCGUCACCGUCUGGGCCCUGGGCAAGAAGCAAUUUUCGGUCCUCUAGCAAUUCUACGGCCACACGGAGGCCGUCACUUGCCUGCCAGCCUCGGCCGGCUAUGAGAUCCUGGUUUUGGGAUCGAAACAGCCGGACCGGCCAUCGUCAAGGAUUUGUCACGUUUGACUUUCAUCCGCCAGUCGACGAGGCACAACGCGCCGCUGGCGGCCAUCGACAUCAACCAUCUGACGGGCGACUCCAGUACUUACGGACCUUCUUCGGCACUUGGCUCCACCUCUGGUCCAUCACCGGCCCUCCGCUGGCCAGCGUCAACACCCUGGUGGGCCAGAUCGGCCGUUCUCAUCACAUCCUCUUCGUCUGUUUCUCGCAGUUGAAGGAGUGGGGUCCUUGAACGUCAUCCUGACGGGAUCGACGGACGGAGUCAUUUGAAUGUAGUCCCUUGACUACGUCCAGACAAUUGAACCGUUUUGGUGGGCGACGCCCGCGGUCGCAUCCAUUCGUUGAGUGUGACGGACGUGAUGGGCCGGUCAGUGGCCGACAAAUGGCUUCGUGACGACACGGUCGAAAUGUGCACCAAAUACCGCGUGAAUUUCUCAUUUAGUGAGUGGCGACAUCACUGCCGGAAGUGUGGACACGUGUUCUGCUCCCGUUGCAGUCGCUCCACAUUAAAUUGUGCAAUUGAGGAUCCGCCGUCAGGUGUGGGUGUGUCAGGAAUGGUACGCUUCUUUGAAAAUGUUCAGUGACGGAUCUUCUUAACUUCGACUUAAAAAAUGGGAUAAACUGUUUGAGAAACCUUAUAACCAAACCUUAUAAUCGGAUUAUAAUUUUUUUUUAUGUAUGGUAAAUGACAUCACAUGGACUCGUGAAGUCGUUGAUUAUUGUCGGCGUAUUAUCUGCCCUAAUUAAGUGUGUAACUAGAACUGUUGGCGUUUUUGUUGCUUUUGUGGUAUUCUGCUGGUAUUUGGAACCAUCCGUGAAUCAUUGCCACCAACAGAUGUACUUCGACGUGCUUGAAGAAAAUCACGGUUACCGAUUUCAUUUGCCAACUCCUAGUAACUACGCAGUUGACGUCCCAGCAGUCGUACUGGACUGCUUAUCAGAAAUGACAGGUGACUACAUUCAUUUUAAAUUUCCUUUGUCAUAACUAGUUAAUGUAAAUUUUUAGACCCCUUUUCUCCAUGUUGCAUGCUAGAUAAUUGAUACCAGACUUCAACCCUACCUACAAUAUUACCGUAUGGCCUACAUGGUCAAAUGGGAUGGAAGCAGGGAGAGAAAACAAAUUUUAAAAUGGCCGUUUUCAAACCCUCUCUCGUCGCUUUUCUUUCUUCGUUUCACGAGGAAUUCUGUUAGUCACCAAGCCUCUGCUCGAUUGCAAUCCUUUAGUGUCGUUUGAUAUCUGUAAAAUUUUUCUUGCGUUUGCUUUUAUCUGUUUCGUGGGAAUCUUUGUUCAACGCGUGACUGGCAGCCAAGGACUUUAAUCACGAGAAAAAAGAAACUUAGGCGUUUGCUGGAACAUUACCCUGGUCCAGGUGUAAUGGGACGUUUGGCUUUUACUUUUGAGGCUGUGAAUUGUGAUGUCAACUCUACUUGUUUUUCAACCCAAGUGGUAAUCUGUCACGUCGCCAUGUUCGCUUGGCUCAUGGACAAGGUGGGACGACCAAUUCGGGACAAAAUUCUGGACGCUCCUUGGCGAAUUACCUCAAGAGGCAAAAAGUCGUCCAGUUUCAUCGACGAUGCGACCUCUUGCUGGGAUCUGGAUGGAGAAAAUGUUGGACCAAUUCUCGCAACCCUUUGCCGAUGCGUGGAUCGAAGGAUGGCUCGAGAUAGGAUACAGAUACA